GACGAACGCUGGCGGCGUGCUUAACACAUGCAAGUCGAGCGAUGAAGCUCCUUCGGGAGUGGAUUAGCGGCGGACGGGUGAGUAACACGUGGGUAACCUGCCUCAUAGAGGGGAAUAGCCUUUCGAAAGGAAGAUUAAUACCGCAUAAGAUUGUAGUACCGCAUGGUACAGCAAUUAAAGGAGUAAUCCGCUAUGAGAUGGACCCGCGUCGCAUUAGCUAGUUGGUGAGGUAACGGCUCACCAAGGCGACGAUGCGUAGCCGACCUGAGAGGGUGAUCGGCCACAUUGGGACUGAGACACGGCCCAGACUCCUACGGGAGGCAGCAGUGGGGAAUAUUGCACAAUGGGGGAAACCCUGAUGCAGCAACGCCGCGUGAGUGAUGACGGUCUUCGGAUUGUAAAGCUCUGUCUUUAGGGACGAUAAUGACGGUACCUAAGGAGGAAGCCACGGCUAACUACGUG
rnacentral:rRNA from 1 species